rnacentral:rRNA from 1 species
GGGUUGUGAGGUUAAGCGACUAAGCGUACACGGUGGAUGCCCUGGCAGUCAGAGGCGAUGAAGGACGUGCUAAUCUGCGAAAAGCGUCGGUAAGGUGAUAUGAACCGUUACAGCCGGCGAUGUCCGAAUGGGGAAACCCAGUGCAAUUCGUUGCACUAUCGUUAACUGAAUACAUAGGUUAACGAGGCGAACCGGGGGAACUGAAACAUCUAAGUACCCCGAGGAAAAGAAAUCAACCGAGAUUCCCCCAGUAGCGGCGAGCGAACGGGGAGCAGCCCGGAGUCUGAAUCAGCUUGUGUGUUAGUGGAAGCGUCUGGAAAGUCGCAGGGUACAGGGUGAUACUCCCGUACACUAAAACGCACAGGUUGUGAACUCGAAGAGUAGGGCGGGACACGUGGUAUCCUGUCUGAAUAUGGGGGGACCAUCCUCCAAGGCUAAAUACUCCUGACUGACCGAUAGUGAACCAGUACCGUGAGGGAAAGGCGAAAAGAACCCCGGCGAGGGGAGUGAAAAAGAACCUGAAACCGUGUACGUACAAGCAGUAGGAGCCCACUUGUUGGGUGACUGCGUACCUUUUGUAUAAUGGGUCAGCGACUUAUAUUCUGUAGCAAGGUUAACCGAAUAGGGGAGCCGCAGGGAAACCGAGUCUUAACUGGGCGUUAAGUUGCAGGGUAUAGACCCGAAACCCGGUGAUCUAGCCAUGGGCAGGUUGAAGGUUGGGUAACACUAACUGGAGGACCGAACCGACUAAUGUUGAAAAAUUAGCGGAUGACUUGUGGCUGGGGGUGAAAGGCCAAUCAAACCGGGAGAUAGCUGGUUCUCCCCAAAAGCUAUUUAGGUAGCGCCUCGUGAAUUCAUCUUCGGGGGUAGAGCACUGUUUCGGCUAGGGGGUCAUCCCGACUUACCAACCCGAUGCAAACUACGAAUACCGAAGAAUGUUAUCACGGGAGACACACGGCGGGUGCUAACGUCCGUCGUGAAGAGGGAAACAACCCAGACCGCCAGCUAAGGUCCCAAAGUCAUGGUUAAGUGGGAAACGAUGUGGGAAGGCCCAGACAGCCAGGAUGUUGGCUUAGAAGCAGCCAUCAUUUAAAGAAAGCGUAAUAGCUCACUGGUCGAGUCGGCCUGCGCGGAAGAUGUAACGGGGCUAAACCAUGCACCGAAGCUGCGGCAGCGACACUAUGUGUUGUUGGGUAGGGGAGCGUUCUGUAAGCCGUUGAAGGUGGCCUGUGAGGGUUGCUGGAGGUAUCAGAAGUGCGAAUGCUGACAUAAGUAACGAUAAUGCGGGUGAAAAACCCGCACGCCGGAAGACCAAGGGUUCCUGUCCAACGUUAAUCGGGGCAGGGUGAGUCGACCCCUAAGGCGAGGCCGAAAGGCGUAGUCGAUGGGAAACAGGUUAAUAUUCCUGUACUUGGUGUUACUGCGAAGGGGGGACGGAGAAGGCUAUGUUGGCCGGGCGACGGUUGUCCCGGUUUAAGCAUGUAGGCGGAUGUUCCAGGUAAAUCCGGAACGUUAUCAACGCUGAGGUGUGAUGACGAGGCACUACGGUGCUGAAGUGACAAAUGCCCUGCUUCCAGGAAAAGCCUCUAAGCAUCAGGUAACAUCAAAUCGUACCCCAAACCGACACAGGUGGUCAGGUAGAGAAUACCAAGGCGCUUGAGAGAACUCGGGUGAAGGAACUAGGCAAAAUGGUGCCGUAACUUCGGGAGAAGGCACGCUGAUGGUAGGUGAAGUGACUUGCUCAUGGAGCUGAAAUCAGUCGAAGAUACCAGCUGGCUGCAACUGUUUAUUAAAAACACAGCACUGUGCAAACACGAAAGUGGACGUAUACGGUGUGACGCCUGCCCGGUGCCGGAAGGUUAAUUGAUGGGGUUAUCCUCGCGGAGAAGCUCUUGAUCGAAGCCCCGGUAAACGGCGGCCGUAACUAUAACGGUCCUAAGGUAGCGAAAUUCCUUGUCGGGUAAGUUCCGACCUGCACGAAUGGCGUAAUGAUGGCCAGGCUGUCUCCACCCGAGACUCAGUGAAAUUGAACUCGCUGUGAAGAUGCAGUGUACCCGCGGCAAGACGGAAAGACCCCGUGAACCUUUACUAUAGCUUGACACUGAACACUGGUCCUUGAUGUGUAGGAUAGGUGGGAGGCUUUGAAGUGUGGACGCCAGUCUGCAUGGAGCCAUCCUUGAAAUACCACCCUUUAAUGGCUGGUGUUCUAACGUGGGCCCCUGAUCGGGGUUGCGGACAGUGUCUGGUGGGUAGUUUGACUGGGGCGGUCUCCUCCUAAAGAGUAACGGAGGAGCACGAAGGUCAGCUAAUCCUGGUCGGACAUCAGGAGGUUAGUGCAAUGGCAUAAGCUGGCUUGACUGCGAGCGUGACGGCGCGAGCAGGUGCGAAAGCAGGUCAUAGUGAUCCGGUGGUUCUGAAUGGAAGGGCCAUCGCUCAACGGAUAAAAGGUACUCCGGGGAUAACAGGCUGAUACCGCCCAAGAGUUCAUAUCGACGGCGGUGUUUGGCACCUCGAUGUCGGCUCAUCACAUCCUGGGGCUGAAGUAGGUCCCAAGGGUAUGGCUGUUCGCCAUUUAAAGUGGUACGCGAGCUGGGUUUAGAACGUCGUGAGACAGUUCGGUCCCUAUCUGCCGUGGGCGCUGGAGAAUUGAGGGGGGCUGCUCCUAGUACGAGAGGACCGGAGUGGACGCAUCACUGGUGUUCGGGUUGUCAUGCCAAUGGCAUUGCCCGGUAGCUAAAUGCGGAAGAGAUAAGUGCUGAAAGCAUCUAAGCACGAAACUUGCCCCGAGAUGAGUUCUCCCUGACUCCUUGAGAGUCCUGAAGGAACGUUGAAGACGACGACGUUGAUAGGCCGGGUGUGUAAGCGCAGCGAUGCGUUGAGCUAACCGGUACUAAUGAACCGUGAGGCUUAACCUUACAACGCCGAAG